rnacentral:pre_miRNA from 1 species
AGUGAAAUUACUGGGCUAUAUGGUAAGUGUUUGUUUAACUUUAUAAGAAACACUGAAUUGUUUUCUAGGGUAAUUGGACUAUUUGCUCACCCACCAGCAGU